UGCAUGCAACGAGUUCUUUUUCCUAGGUCGAGAGGCCUGGGUAAUCUUUUGAACGUGCAUCGUGAUAGGGAUAGAUCAUUGCAAUUAUUGAUCUUGAACGAGGAAUUCCUAGUAAACGCGAGUCAUCAGCUCGCAUUGAUUACCUCCCUGCCCUUUGUACACACCGCCCGUCGCACCUACCGAUUGAAUCAUUCGGUGAGGAUUCCGGAUUCUGUGGCUCACGCUUCACGGCGUUUUUCACGAAAGAAGUUAUCCAAACCUCAUGAUUUAGAGGAAGGUGAAGUCGUAACAAGGUUUCCGUAGGUGAACCUGCGGAAGGAUCA
rnacentral:rRNA from 1 species